rnacentral:rRNA from 1 species
GAGUUUGAUCCUGGCUCAGGAUGAACGCUGGCGGCGUGCUUAACACAUGCAAGUCGAACGGGCGAAUUAUAUCGGAGGUCUUCGGGCCAAAGAGAUAAUAAGCUAGUGGCGGACGGGUGCGUAACGUGUGGGUAAUCUGCCUUUGUCAUAGGAAUAACUGCUUGAAAAAGUAGCUAAUACCAAAUAACAUAUCGUAUAGGCAUCUAUAAGAUAUCAAAGAGAAAUCGGACAAAGAUGAGCCCGCAUCUGAUUAGCUGGUUGGUAGGGUAAAAGCCUACCAAGGCGACGAUCAGUAGCCGGCCUGAGAGGGUGAACGGCCACAUUGGAACUGAGACACGGUCCAAACUCCUACGGGAGGCAGCAGUGGGGAAUAUUGCACAAUGGGGGGAACCCUGAUGCAGCAACGCCGCGUGAGUGAAGAAGGCUUUCGAGUCGUAAAACUCUGUUGUAAGGGAAGAUAAUG